rnacentral:pre_miRNA from 1 species
AGGGGAGGCCGGACCCUGGGCUGUGUCCUGGCGCCCAGUGCUCCCAGGGCCUGCGCUGUUGGAUUCGCGCUCCCCCCCCCAGCCCCCU